rnacentral:rRNA from 1 species
UACGGAGGAUGCAAGCGUUAUCCGGAAUGAUUGGGCGUAAAGAGUCCGUAGGUGGCUCGUCAAGUCUGUUGUCAAAGAGUGAGGCUUAACUUCGCUAAGGCAGUGGAAACUGAGGAGCUAGAGAGCAGUAGGGGCAGAAGGAAUUCCUGGUGUAGCGGUGAAAUGCGUAGAGAUCAGGAAGAACACCGGUGGCGAAAGCGUUCUGCUGGGCUGCGACUGACACUGAGGGAGCGAAAGGCUAGGGGAGCGAAUGGG